AAGAAUGAUAAAGCUUCAAAGAGUAGACAUUGAGACUUGAAUUGGAGCAAGUUCUCAUUCUUAUCCGGACUUAAUCAGAUCUCCAGAAGUCAAGCUAAUGACUAAAAAUAAGCGCUGAGUGGGAGGCAACCCACUGUUAGUGUUUUAUUUAUGUUAGGUACAAGGAAAAGAUCCGAGGAAGACGAGUUUCCAUAGAAAUCGACGAUGGCUAGCUAACAUCGAUCGACAGAGUAUCAAAAGGGUAUUGAUCGCCACUUAACUGUGUUGGUCAAUAUUCACAUCAAAGUUAGGUAUAUUGUUCUUCCUUGUUAAAUAUUGUCCUUAUGAUUUAUUCUCCCACCGAUCUUAGGCUGAAUAACAUUGGUCACAAUGUUAUUUAAGUCUGGGGGAGGUUAUAUUAAUAUUAGGUUUUAGUUAGAUGUUUAGAAUAGGGACCCAAGUAAACGAUUGCCAUGAUAUCGACCGACGAGAACAAGUCGAUAUCGAUCGACAUUGCUACAUCUGCCACGACCGAUGACAACACGUUUACAUCUAUCGACAUCCAUUCUGGUCAGGUAUAUCGUUCUAACUUGUUAAAUUGAGUACUUAUGAUUUAUUUACACCAAUCUCCGACUGGAUAACACCAUUAUAGUGUUAUCUAAGUCUGGGGAGGUUCUACUAAUAUUGUGUUUUAGUUAGUUAAAAAAAAAAAAAAAAAUUAAAACAGAUCCGAGUAGACGAUUGCUCAGCACAUCGACCGAUGGCACCAGCUCGAUAUCGAUCGACAGCGCUUCAUAUCCAACAAUCGAUUGUCUCUUCAUUGUGUCGAAUGAUUGCUCUAGCCAUCGACCGAUGAGACCAUGUCACUAUCAAUCGACAGCACUUCAUCAACAUCGAUCGAUUGUCUAUUCAUUGUGUCGAUCGACACUGAUGUCGAGCAGGUUAUUGUUCUUACUUGUUAAAUUGUUUAUUUAUUUAUUUAUGUUCUAACCAUAACUCCGACUAGAUAUACACUGGGGACAGUAUAAUUUAAAUCUGGGAGGAUGUUUACUGAUAUUUGCUUAUCUAUUGAGUUUUAUAAAAUGUUUUCAAAACUGUUUUUAUUGAGUCAAGAAGGGGAUAAUGAACUUAUUAGUUUCAUGCUUGUUAUCUAACCACUCUUUAGCACCAUUCUAUACUUACUGAUUGCAGAUAGUACUAAAGAUACUAAAGUGGAUCAACCUGUCAACUAUGUUCACACUUGCUGAGAUUGUUUGAAGGAACCGAAGCUGACCUCCAACCUAAUUUGACUUAACUGCUUGUCUUGGGGCUUGGUAUACACUGGAUCGGAUUCCUCCUUCAGGUCUGAAAGGUAAAAGUCUGAGUGAUUUUGGUUUCCUUAUCUCCUCCCUUUGGCAUCCUAAUAAAAUAAAAUAAAAGAUUGAGAUGAUUUCUUGCGGUUUACAGGGGUAGGUACAUUACCGAUGACCCCAUUAUUCUACUCUAAUAGAAUGAUCACACAUUGUUGGAAGCGAGGGGUAGGUACAUUACCGAUGACCCCACUAUUCGCCUACACUUUGUCAAGAAAAGAAAAAGAAAAAAAUAAUAAAAAAAAUAAUAAUAAUAAAUAAAAAAAAAUCGAAAAGAAGGUGAAUAAGAUGGACUAUCAGCAUCUUUGUUCAUUGGAAUUGAGAUAAAAAAGAUUCAGAGAAGGGAGAUAUAGAGUAAAAGAACCAGAACAAGACUACCUGUUUACUCAGAUACCUGUUGGGGUAAGAGUCCAUGUGUCUUGUGAUCGAUACUCCCAAGGUAAAGCAUACACAUUUAUUUAUGUUAAGAAAUGAGGUUGGUAGAGGGGAAUGUCAGACAUGAUUUGCUAAGAUGUUGGCUAGGUGAAUUUGGUUGCUAAGCUAGGAUAUUGUAUAAUAUGCUUCUGUGAUUAGGACUUUUUAGAUGUGGAUUGCAAUAUUGUAGAGGUGAUGAUUCUAAGUUUUAAAUCAUGUGAGUCCCUG
rnacentral:lncRNA from 1 species